AGUGAACGCUGGCGGUAGGCCUAACACAUGCAAGUCGAACGGCAGCACAGGAGAGCUUGCUCUCUGGGUGGCGAGUGGCGGACGGGUGAGGAAUACAUCGGAAUCUACUCUGUCGUGGGGGAUAACGUAGGGAAACUUACGCUAAUACCGCAUACGACCUACGGGUGAAAGCAGGGGAUCCUCGGACCUUGCGCGAUUGAAUGAGCCGAUGUCGGAUUAGCUAGUUGGCGGGGUAAAGGCCCACCAAGGCGACGAUCCGUAGCUAGUCUGAGAGGAUGAUCAGCCACACUGGAACUGAGACACGGUCCAGACUCCUACGGGAGGCAGCAGUGGGGAAUAUUGGACAAUGGGCGCAAGCCUGAUCCAGCCAUACCGCGUGGGUGAAGAAGGCCUUCGGGUUGUAAAGCCCUUUUGUUGGGAAAGAAAUCCAGCUGGCUAAUACCCGGUUGGGAUGACGGUACCCAAAGAAUAAGCACCGGCUAACUUCGUGCCAGCAGCCGCCGUAA
rnacentral:rRNA from 1 species